UACGUAGGGGGGCUAGCGUUGUCCGGAUUUAUUGGGCGUAAAGAGCGUGUAGGCGGCCACGCAGGUCCGUUGUGAAAACUGGAGGCUCAACCUUCAGACGUCGACGGAAACCGUGUGGCUAGAGUCCGGAAGAGGAGAUUGGAAUUCCUGGUGUAGCGGUGGAAUGCGCAGAUAUCAGGAGGAACACCGAUGGCGAAGGCAGAUCUCUGGGCCGUAACUGACGCUGAGGAGCGAAAGCGUGGGGAGCGAUCCGG
rnacentral:rRNA from 1 species